rnacentral:rRNA from 1 species
GACGGUAAUGGGUAAAGAAGCACCGGCUAACUACGUGCCAGCAGCCGCGGUGAUACGUAGGGUGCGAGCGUUGUCCGGAUUUAUUGGGCGUAAAGGGCUCGUAGGUGGUUGAUCGCGUCGGAAGUGUAAUCUUGGGGCUUAACCCUGAGCGUGCUUUCGAUACGGGUUGACUUGAGGAAGGUAGGGGAGAAUGGAAUUCCUGGUGGAGCGGUGGAAUGCGCAGAUAUCAGGAGGAACACCAGUGGCGAAGGCGGUUCUCUGGGCCUUUCCUGACGCUGAGGAGCGAAAGCGUGGGGAGCGAACAGGCUUAGAUACCCUGGUAGUCCACGCUGUAAACGGUGGGUACUAGGUGUGGGGUCCAUUCCACGGGUUCCGCGCCGUAGCUAACGCUUUAAGUACCCCGCCUGGGGAGUACGGCCGCAAGGCUAAAACUCAAAGGAAUUGACGGGGCCCCGCACAAGCGGCGGAGCAUGCGGAUUAAUUCGAUGCAACGCGUAGAACCUUACCUGGGUUUGACAUGGAUCGGGAGUGCUCAGAGAUGGGUGUGCCUCUUUUGGGGUCGGUUCACAGGUGGUGCAUGGCUGUCGUCAGCUCGUGUCGUGAGAUGUUGGUUAAGUCCCGCAACGAGCGCAACCCUUGUUCACUGUUGCCAGCAC